GCUCUGGGGGUAGGGGGAGCCCACACAGUUCUUCCUCUCUCUGGGUUUUUGAGGGAAAAAAAAAUAAAAGCCACUCUGUGCAGUCACUGGGCUGAGAAUGCCAUCAACCCCUCCCCAGAACCAUUCAAUAAACUGGGCAUUGUGUGGUUGAGGAGGUUUGGUAAACUGACCAGGACCAUACAUGGCAGCAAAUACGGUUCAGGAGAUGCCGCCGGUGAGCACUCGGGAGAAUGGCCCCCAAGCCAGAAACAGCCACAUUUCAGAGAGGGAGACUCCAAAGACCAAAUACAGGAGCUGCCUUCACACACAGCUGCCUCACAUGGUUACAACAAAGGCGACAGAGUCCAAUGCCCCAGUCUCGAAGCACCCUGCCCGGGUGGGGAGUCCUUCACCUC
rnacentral:lncRNA from 1 species